rnacentral:rRNA from 1 species
UGGGGAAUUUUGGACAAUGGGCGAAAGCCUGAUCCAGCAAUGCCGCGUGUGUGAAGAAGGCCUUCGGGUUGUAAAGCACUUUUGUCCGGAAAGAAAUCCUUGGCUCUAAUACAGUCGGGGGAUGACGGUACCGGAAGAAUAAGCACCGGCUAACUACGUGCCAGCAGCCGCGGUAAUACGUAGGGUGCAAGCGUUAAUCGGAAUUACUGGGCGUAAAGCGUGCGCAGGCGGUUUGCUAAGACCGAUGUGAAAUCCCCGGGCUCAACCUGGGAACUGCAUUGGUGACUGGCAGGCUAGAGUAUGGCAGAGGGGGGUAGAAUUCCACGUGUAGCAGUGAAAUGCGUAGAGAUGUGGAGGAAUACCGAUGGCGAAGGCAGCCCCCUGGGCCAAUACUGACGCUCAUGCACGAAAAGCGUGGGGGAGCAAAACAGGAUUAGAUACCCUGGUAGUCCACGCCCUAAACGAUGUCAACUAGUUGUUGGGGAUUCAUUUCCUAGUAACGUAGCUAACGCGUGAAGUUGACCGCCUGGGGAGUACGGUCGCAAGAUUAAAACUCAAAUGAAUUGACGGGGUCAUAGCUGUUUCCU